rnacentral:rRNA from 1 species
UUUAUGGAGAGUUUGAUCCUGGCUCAGGAUGAACGCUGGCGGCGUGCCUAAUACAUGCAAGUCGAGCGAACGGACGAGAAGCUUGCUUCUCUGAUGUUAGCGGCGGACGGGUGAGUAACACGUGGAUAACCUACCUAUAAGACUGGGAUAACUUCGGGAAACCGGAGCUAAUACCGGAUAAUAUUUUGAACCGCAUGGUUCAAAAGUGAAAGACGGUCUUGCUGUCACUUAUAGAUGGAUCCGCGCUGCAUUAGCUAGUUGGUAAGGUAACGGCUUACCAAGGCAACGAUGCAUAGCCGACCUGAGAGGGUGAUCGGCCACACUGGAACUGAGACACGGUCCAGACUCCUACGGGAGGCAGCAGUAGGGAAUCUUCCGCAAUGGGCGAAAGCCUGACGGAGCAACGCCGCGUGAGUGAUGAAGGUCUUCGGAUCGUAAAACUCUGUUAUUAGGGAAGAACAUAUGUGUAAGUAACUGUGCACAUCUUGACGGUACCUAAUCAGAAAGCCACGGCUAACUACGUGCCAGCAGCCGCGGUAAUACGUAGGUGGCAAGCGUUAUCCGGAAUUAUUGGGCGUAAAGCGCGCGUAGGCGGUUUUUUAAGUCUGAUGUGAAAGCCCACGGCUCAACCGUGGAGGGUCAUUGGAAACUGGAAAACUUGAGUGCAGAAGAGGAAAGUGGAAUUCCAUGUGUAGCGGUGAAAUGCGCAGAGAUAUGGAGGAACACCAGUGGCGAAGGCGACUUUCUGGUCUGUAACUGACGCUGAUGUGCGAAAGCGUGGGGAUCAAACAGGAUUAGAUACCCUGGUAGUCCACGCCGUAAACGAUGAGUGCUAAGUGUUAGGGGGUUUCCGCCCCUUAGUGCUGCAGCUAACGCAUUAAGCACUCCGCCUGGGGAGUACGACCGCAAGGUUGAAACUCAAAGGAAUUGACGGGGACCCGCACAAGCGGUGGAGCAUGUGGUUUAAUUCGAAGCAACGCGAAGAACCUUACCAAAUCUUGACAUCCUUUGACAACUCUAGAGAUAGAGCCUUCCCCUUCGGGGGACAAAGUGACAGGUGGUGCAUGGUUGUCGUCAGCUCGUGUCGUGAGAUGUUGGGUUAAGUCCCGCAACGAGCGCAACCCUUAAGCUUAGUUGCCAUCAUUAAGUUGGGCACUCUAAGUUGACUGCCGGUGACAAACCGGAGGAAG